UACAUGACAUAUUUUGCAGAUAAGCUUGAGCACAGGAAGCUGACUUUGACAGACAAAGUAUGCUUUUCCUGACUGAUGCUUCAGAGUACCAGUAGAUGCUGCAGCGCAUCAUAGCAAGGGUCGCGACGUUUCUCUAUCUGGAACCUGUUUCUGUCCCCAUGGCAUUAUGUACAUUAAAGGAAUCAAAACUAUUCCAAUCAUUUCCUCCCGGACAGCUACAGAAGAGCUGAAGGGAACAGUGCAUGCUUCAUGUGAAUGAAGAACAUUGCUGAUCCACAGCUAGGUAUGGGAUAAAACUUGGGCCAUUUAAUCAACUCAUUCCCUCCCUGUCUGUGCCCUGCCAGAAGGUCUGCCAUAGCAUCAUCUUUUUUUAAGGGAUCAGUGAGAAGAUAGACAGCGAUCCUCGCUAACAUCCACAGCCUCCUGAAACAGAAUCAGAAGCCCUAGUAAGGGAGAUGUCAAUCCAUUCAAGAGAUCUGAUGAGGAGGAAGGAGAAUGGUCAGAAGUCCAGAAAAUACAUCAGAACUGGGGAUAUAAGUGAAGACUGAGAAGGGAGAAGGUUAUUUCUACAUGUUGUCCACUGUGUCCAAGGAUUUGAACAAUUUAAAGAAAGUCCAGAGGAGAAAAAUACACAUUACCAGGAGUCUUAACCAAAAUGACCAACAAUGAAAACCUGAAGAAACUACAGCUUUUUUCUUUACUCCAUCUUCUAAUUUAAGGUUAUGUUACGCUAAUAUGCCAGCAAUAGCUUAGCUCAUCUGCCCUGUCAUGGAGAACAAAGAAACCCAGAUCCUGGUGUGGUAUCAAGUCCCAGCAGAAGUCUUGUGAUAGAAAUCAUAUAAUCUUUCACAAAUGACUGCAAGAUUUUUAACAGGAGAGACAGAGAAGAAAGAAAACUUUAAUGAACAGAUGAGCAGAUAAUACUGCGGAUGCAGAAGCCAAAAAUGUAUCAGAAUAUCCCAGCUGUUUUAUUCCAUGUGAUGCUCAGCAGCUCCUUCCCUGACACUUCUUUGGAAUUCACGAGGAAGGGGUUACAACUACUUAAAGUAUAGAUCAUUUCUAAGAACUCAGGAUGCAGUUCACACAAGGAUAUUUUAAGCUGUGCUAAUGUAAACAUGAAUGAGCCAUCACAGUGGUUUCAUGGUGCCAGGGCUGUGCUGCACCUCCUUGUCAGGGGAGAGGAAAUGUCUUUCAGCUCCAGGCCAGAGUGUGAGGGAGUUCUGCAACACCUAAUGAACUACAGCACCACCUGUGAAGUGUUCCCUGCAAACAUUAAGAUGGAAUGAAUGGGAAAUGUCAACAGCAGGCAACUUCAAUUGCAAUAAAGAAAAUGUUCUUUUAAGAUCUUACUGUCGUCCUCCAGUGAGUCCUACUUCACCUACUGGCACAAGGAAGCAAAGAAAUGGGGACUUGGCUGACCUGCUUGGGAAGACAGGACUUUAUGGGCAAAGAAAAACAGCAUGACCAGAAUGGGUUCCCUGGAAAGGGAAAAGUGAGACAAGCUGGAGAAAAUUAUCUGCUUAUUACAGCAAUUCUGGAAUGGGACAUGAGAAUCCCAAAUCUUUGAUUUCUCUGCUUCUAGAAAAUGGAAGUGGUGGUUCCUAGCAAUAGCUUAGGUCAUUGGGACCCUAGGCUUAGACUGAGAGCCUAUUCUAUUAGGUGCUGUGUAUACACAGAACAAAAAGACAAUUAUCAUGAGAGGAAGUCAUCUCACUAGAUAUCAGAGCAGAGAACAGAUUGAAGAAAGGAUGCGAUGGAAAAUACUAGCAUUACUUUGUAGAUGUUUGAGUAAUUCAUCCCAGACUGAAGGGAGAACACAGGUGAAAUCACAGUGGGAUUUUUAUGCUAAUCUGUUGUUUGUGUGAAAGAGAAUAGUAUUAUAGGCUUAUCAGAAAGUUUCAUCUCUGUAAGGACCAGGAGUGGCAGGCUAAAUGAGAAUAAGGGGUCACUUCUUGAUGUGAAAAGAAAUGUAAGCCAGUGAAAAACUGCAAUGAGAGGUAAAGCAAUGGACUACAUAAAUAAUAUUUCCAGAGUGUUCUAAAACAAGUAUUUAGGGACUUGAGAUUAUAUAUAUUAAAAAACAUAACCAUUGUUUCAGUGAGAUUAAAAUGAGAGCUUCCGUGAGAAAACACUUGAAACGUGCAGUUUCAGUCUACAUAGGGUGCUUUACACAAUAUCAUCAACAAUAGCAUACUGGUUUUAUUUGGGCAGAAAAAAUCAAGAUGUAUUUACAACUAUCUGGAACUAAACUAAAGUUGAUGAAUAGAUAUCUAUAAUGAGAAGCCAAAUAGAUUGAGCAACCUUGUAAUUUAUGGCUACAGAAAUGGUGAUUAAAUACGUGGUUUGUGUGAGGUCAUUCAGAGAAAGUACAAAGAGAAGGAUAAGGUCAGGUCAUUGUAGGUUCCCCAUAAGCAGUAAACAGCAGGAAAACAAGGGAAGCUUCAGAAGAUUGAAGUAUUUCAAAUGGAAAAAACAUUGCAACAAAGGCAAAUCCAUAUCUAAAAUAGUAAGGUCAAGUGCAGCUGAUGUGGAGAAGUGAGGACAGGAGGCUGAUUCUAAUCACUGAUUAAGAAGAAAUCAUGGGAGCUGUAUGAGUUGUUCCAGUGAAGCAUGAGAACAUAAAUAGGAAGAUAUGGUCUUUAACAAACUGUAAGAAAGAAAAUUCAGUGAAAUGAGUGAUGGAACAUGUUUUGAUGAGAGAUGAUGAGGGAUCAACAGCAUGUAUAGAUGAUUUUGUAAGAAAAUUAAACUUCAUUGAUCGUAUUCACCAUUUUCUCCAAUGUUUAACUUUGAAGUUUCUUGAAUCACUUCAGCUACAUAUGGUAAGGGUAACAACCCCUUUGAUAUUAACAUUCUGUGGAUAUCAUGAAUUUAGACAACAGAAACACUAAUAACAACUAUGUUAAACACAAUAAUAUCCUUAUGAGAGAAGCAUUUUAAUAAUGUUCUAACAAUUGGAAAAGCUUUGUCAAUUACACCAUUUUUAUAUGUCAGAAAAUCUGGAUCUGCAAAAAACAAUUCUCCCACUGCUUGAGGAUGACAGAAUUUAAAGGCGCUUUAUAUAUUGAAGAUAAAUUUGUGGAAGGAAAAAAGUAUAAAGUAAAAAAAAAAAAAAGAGUGGAUAUGAAGAGGAUUCGUACAGGGUUCACUGAAGUGGAUAAGUGUAAGGAGAGAAAAAAAAAGUUUUUCAUGACAGAGACUGGGAGAAAGCUUUAGGGGAAGGAAAUCAAGCACAGUAGUGUUGUUCACAUUCUAGUAAUAGUCUGCAUGAAGAAUGAGAGCUGUUUAAUCAGUUAUUGUGCUAUUUCAAAUGCUGAAGUAGAUACGAAAGUUCUAGUUGUACUGAUGAACAAUAUAAGUAGCAGUAUGAUACCACAGGAUAGAAUUUGUUUUUUCUUGUUAAUGCUGGGCAUGUGAACACUGUUCAGAGAACACCAAAAAAAUCCAAAAUGAAAUUCUCAAAGAUAGGAAGCAAGAACAAAUAUCAAUUUUUUUUGUAAAGUCAGAUUGUGUACUAAGGCUUAGAAAGAAAAAUACAGUCCUUAGUUAACAAUUUACUAAUUAUUUAUUCUGCCAACUUUCGGUAUUCCUUCCCUUUUUUGGUGAGACCUUUAUCACGAUAUUUUGGCAUUGCAUUUCAUGUAUAAUAUAUGUAUAAACUUUGAUAAAAAAACACUUCUUGAUUUUGUUGUUGUUGUUAACCAUUACUUUAUUAGAAGUUGUUUACCGUGUGCCUUGCUAUCUUCUCAGUACAUUAUGUUCUCAUUAAAAAGAAAUAUAGCAAACAUCUUAGGUACUGGGUUAUAGUUCAUAUUAAAUGUUCUAUUAAAUUCCUACUAUGCUUCUUCCCUCAGGAGAGGUUUAAAAUUAUUCUAUGACAGGUACAUUCAAUUACAUGUUCUGCAGAAAAAAGCACAGUUGACUACCUCCAGGUUAUUGUAAGUGAAAUUCAUGAUUAUCUUUAAGGAACAGUCUAAUUUUUCUUUUCUCAAUGUGUAGAACAAAUGCCAGCAAAAUCCCCAUAUGAAUUCCUCCUUAAAAUCGGCAACAAAGUGAAAAACAAGGAACCACUCCUUUAAAAAAAAGUUUGUAAUCCUGAAAAUAAGCUUUGGAGUAUUUUCAAAUUUUAAACAGAUAAGAAAGUAGCUAUUUUUUUCAUGGCAGAUAUUUGAAAAGAUACCACUGCUUACAAGAUUUCUCGCAGUUUAGAUUCUUGGGAAUAAUUCUUUAGAAGGCUGAGUGACACAAGUACUGAGUUACUGGCUUAAUUUUAGAUAUCUGUAUUAGUUGAUUAACAUAAGUGAUGACAGGUAAGUUCUUAUAAAGAGAAGUGCAGGUUAGUUAAAUCAGUUAUUUGCAAAGUAUCACCUUUCCCUUUGGAGAGUUUGAAGAGACAGUCCUCCUAUGUGAAUUCCACUGUGAAUUCCUUCCCACCUUUAAGUGAUUGAGCAAUGGUGGGUGGGGUUUUUUGUUUGUUUUAUUUAUUUUUUUUAUUUUUUGAGAAAUGGUGUUUGACUGAUGUGUUUUGAGUAAUGUCAUUCAAUAAGAACUGACAGAAGGGCUUUUUUUUAGAAGUCGUAGAAGUGUGGGGUAAGAGGAAGGUCCUGAAGGAAGAGUACUUGGAGGUAUAGUAGAGUAGUUGCUUUUAUUACCAGGCUGAACUUAGUAAGAAAACAAGACUGUGCAAUGGAUUCGAAGGGUUAUAAUAAUUUUUCACUCCUCCCCAUCCCCUUUUAAUUGGACAGGAGAGCUACUGUUAUCUUUAUUAUCUGUGCACAAGGAACAGAAAUAAAUUCUAGCAUUAUUGGAAGUUUGGGAAUUUUCUAUACUGCUUUUUCAGAAGAAAUUAAAACAGACACUCUCUUUCAAUACCUUCAGAAACUGAGAAAGAAAAAACUGAAGAUAAAAUUGGUGAAAUGAAAGAGCUUACAAAUAUACAUUCCUUGAAAAUUUUCAGAUAUUAGGAAAAACAAAUUACAUCAAAGAUCCCUGCUUUCUAAAUACACAUGCUUUCUUUCUAGCACAGCAGCUUUUGCCGUCUGUCAAGCUCAUUUAUCAAAUAGUAUGUGUGAAACAAAAGUAA